GUGAAUCAUCGAAUUUUUGAACGCAAAUUGCGCCUUUUUCGGAAGGCAUGUCUGUUUGAGGGCACCAUUUAACAAAUAAUGUGCACCGUUUUGUGUGUGCACACGUUGAUGAGCUUUCCAGGAAAAAUUUUUUUUUUUUUUUUUUUUGGUGGCGCAUAAUGAACAGCGCGAAAGCUUUUUUUUCAGUUCGAGUGCAGUAAAAUCUUUGUUUGGGUUGUGAAAAGCAAGUAGGGCACUGGGUGUGGCAGUUUUCCCUGAUGCCACCCUUUUUCGC
rnacentral:misc_RNA from 1 species